rnacentral:lncRNA from 10 species
CAAGUAGUGCACCUGAGCUUUGUUUUCACAUUAAUAACACUGCAUUUCAAUCCUCCCUUUCAGCUGCAUCAAGAAAAACUGAAAGAGGAAAAGAAGAAGAAGAAAAAGAAAAAGAAGAAGCAUCGAAAGAGCAGUUCAGAUAGUGAUGAUGAAGAAAAGAAGCAUGAAAAAUUGAAAAAGGCACUGAACGCAGAGGAGGCCCGCCUUCUUCAUGUCAAGGAGACCAUGCAGAUUGAUGAGAGGAAGCGGCCUUACAAUAGCAUGUAUGAAACUCGAGAACCUACUGAAGAGGAAAUGGAGGCAUAUAGAAUGAAACGUCAGAGGCCAGAUGACCCCAUGGCCUCUUUCCUUGGACAGUAGCAACUAGUCAGAAGACCAUCCAAGAUAGAUGCAGCUGAUACAUUCUUUUCAGCUUCUUAUUGAUGAUUGUAGAUAGAAAAAUCCUUGUUUAUUCUUCUUGCUGCCUGGCUUUAAUAAAUAUUUCAGAUGCCU